rnacentral:rRNA from 1 species
GACGAACCGUGCGAACGUUGUUCGGAUUCACUGGGCUUAAAGGGCGCGUAGGCGGGCGGUCAAGUCGGGGGUGAAAUCUUUCAGCUUAACUGGAAACGUGCCUUCGAUACUGAUCAUCUUGAGGGAGGUAGGGGCAUGUGGAACUUCCGGUGGAGCGGUGAAAUGCGUAGAUAUCGGAAGGAACGCCGGUGGCGAAAGCGACGUGCUGGACCUCUUCUGACGCUGAGGCGCGAAAGCUAGGGGAGCAAACGGG